rnacentral:lncRNA from 1 species
CCAACAUCACAAACAGAAGUUGUGAUGACUGGAGCUGGGUUUAAAAUAAAAAUCCAUUGUCUUAUUGCCUAACCUCAGGUACUCUUAAGGUUCAAACAUCACUGAAACAUCUUUUGACCUAUUACCAUCAUGUGAAUCACAUGGCAAGCAUGUGCUACUAGUAUUGCCUAGCUUAACCAUGGGUUGAUGGAAAAUUCUGACAGUGGGACAGCCCAUGCAAUGGAAAAAUGGUCCUGG